UUCGCAAUGCCCGAAAGGGUGAACGAGCGACGCCGCGUGCGGGAUGAAGGGUUUCGGCUUGUAAACCGCUUUUCUUUGGGAAGAAGGUCUGUCUCGUGAAGAUGGGCUCGACGGUACCAGAGGAAUAAGCCUCGGCUAACUCCGUGCCAGCAGCCGCGGUAAGACGAACCGUGCGAACGUUAUUCGGAAUCACUGGGCUUAAAGCGCGUGUAGGCGGGCGGGUACGUCCGACGCUGAAAUCCCCCGGCUCAACCGGGGAACCGGCGGGGAUACGACCGGCCUGGAGGGACGUAGGGGGACCUGGAACUUCCGGUGGAGCGGUGAAAUGCGUUGAGAUCGGAAGGAACGCCCGUGGCGAAAGCGAGGUCCUGGACGUCUGCUGACGCUGAGACGCGAAAGCCAGGGGAGCGAACGGGAUUAGAUACCCCGGUAGUCCUGGCUGUAAACGAUGGGCACUAAGUAGAGGGGUUUU
rnacentral:rRNA from 1 species